CCAGGGUGCAUGCUGCCGUGACCCUUGGUGACCAUGUCCCCUGUGGCCUUCCUCCAAGGCUUGCUCCAGCAAGCUCUGACAUGCUGUCCUCCCUGACCUUCUGGGCUGCGGCUUCUCCAACUUCCCUUAGCUCCUACAGACAGAGGAGCAACAGCAAGGCACAAGGAUUACUACACUGAGCAUGAUGUCCCCCAGGCUCAUCCAUGUUGUAGCGUGUGCCAGGGUUUCCCUCCCUGUUAAGGUCCGAAGGGUUCCACUUUCUCCACAUCCUCGCCAACGCCAAUCCUUGCCAACGCUGGGUUUUUGACAGUGACCAUCCUGAUGAGUAUGAGGUGGUAGAGCUGCCUGCUUUUUGAUUAAUGUGACGAUCACACCCUCUGCCUGGGAAUUUUACAGAAUGGUGAUGACUUUUUGUGGCAUCUCAGGAAAGAAAAUAACUUCAGGGACGUCCUUAGUCAGAAUCUACUCAGUAUAAGCUCACAUGAGACCUCGCCUCCCCAGGGAGUCACAACCGCUAAUAUACUUCUUCCUUCUGCUCUGCCCCCCACAAACCGCCCUGCCAGUCCUCACCACCUAAAGGGAGAUUGGGAGCUGGUAGAGGAAAGACACCCUAAAUCCCUGAGGUCAGGCAAAGCCCUGGGGCGGCGCCGUGGGAUCCCUGCCUCAGGCCUGCCUAGACAGUAUGUGAAUGAGUAUCCCAGAGAUUUUCCCCGCUAUGACCUUGAGGGCCAGCCUGCCUGUGUGGCCGUGAGCUGCUUUCUUCCCAGAGGAACUUACUCGUGGCAGCAGGACUCCACAGCCUCAGGGGCAGCCUGGGCUGUGGCGAAGUGGGGAGCUGUCCUGGUUGGGUGAAGGUCCAAAUCACCUCCCCAUCCCAAGGGUCACUUCUCUAGAGAGAAUACGACACACGCAAGAACCGAAACCUCACAGGGGCUGCUUGUCCACCUUCAAGAAAGGUUCAGACAGAUGUCCAAGGUGGUGGAUGGAACUCCUGUUCCCCUUUUCCUCUACUUGCAAAAUCUAGCCACGCCGUGGCCCGACGAUGGAGAAGAAGCCGAGAACCCGGCAAGGAUCUCUUUUCCUCCAACCGUGGCCUUUCUGGCUAAGCUGCUGGUUGGGCACAUUCCCAGCUCCACAUGGCGGCAGCCUUGCUGCAUCCUGCCUGGGCUCAGGCCUCUACACUGCCCUCGCUGCUUUUCUGUCUUCCGUGUUCCUGCUGGGCCUUGAUUUUUCUUGGUCUGGCUCAGGGUCUUCAACCAGCCACAUUUCCCCGUUCAUCUGGGAUCCUUUGUUUCCUUCUCCAAACCUCUCUCUGCGUGGUUGGGCAAGUGGGAGGAUCCUGGAGCUCUGGGUUUCCAUACCUGUCACCCCCUGUCACGGAAAUUCCCUUGGUCUCCAGGGCUCAAGCAGACGGCAGCAUAACUCCUAUAGGAUGAGCGGUAGCCAAGCGUGGCUGGCCUUUGCCUUCCAAGAAAGGUGGUGUUUCCUGGCAUCUACAGGGCCUUCACCCCUCUUGAGGGAUAUCCAGCCCCUCUGCUCCCAGGCGGGACUGCCUCCCAGCACUGAAUCUUCUGACCGCCACGGGUUUCACUGAGCCAAGUGGACGGAGGGUCGGCCUGCUUCAGCUGAGGGUGUGUGUGCCGUCGCCAGCAUAGGGGUGGGAGUGGCUGGCAUGUCACAGAAACGUCUUGGGUCUUUCUUGUGGCAGGCAUCCCUGAGGGUGGCUUGGACCCCAGUGUGGCCCUCUUGGGGUUCCCAGGUUUGCUGGGCCUUUCCUUCACUUUUUUGGUGAGGGGGCCUUCCGUCUUGGAAUGGCUCCAUUCCAAGAGUCCUUGGAGACACACACUCACUCCACCUGCUCGCCAGCCUGGUGCUCGCAUCACAGCGCCCGCCACCGUUGCCUGCAGGGUGUCGCCAGGGAGGUCCCGGGAUCUUAGGAGCCACAGAGGGCCGAUCAGGAUGAACAAACGUCAGUCGGAGCCCCAGUGAUGCACUGCGGGAUCCCUGUCUCAGUCCUGCCUAGAUGAUGUGCAGGCCUCGGCAAAGUGCGGAGCUGCCUCGGCCUGCAGAGGUCCAAAUCACCUCCUCAUUUAGAGGGACUAUGUCUCUAGAGAGAAGAAGACAUGCCAAAAACGAAAACCUCACAGGAGCUUUUUGUCCACUUGCAAGCGAAGUACAGACGUGUUUGAGACGGUGGAUGGACUUUUUUUUUUUUCCUUUUCUCUCUUUCCAAAAUCCGGACACACCAUGGCCCAGUGACGGAGAAGAAGUUGAGGACCUGGCAAGGAUCUUCUUUCUUAGGAGUCGUGGAGGGCUGACCAGUCUCAAUAAAGCACCGGGGAGCCCACGUGACCCAGCAUCUGGGUGGCAGCUUGUGGACAAUCUGCAGCUCAUCUGGAUCACACAGCUCAGCUGAACUCACAGCUGGAGGCCCAGCACUGCCCAGGGGCUGGCGGCCAUCCUGUUUGGGUGGGGCUCUGCAGGAUGGGGAACCACACGACGGUCUCCCUGGGAGCCUGGGAAAAGGGAGGGUCCACAGAUUACAAGGGGACAAGAGCCUGUUGGACAAAAAUGACCGAGUGGGAAGCUGCCUAGCUCUGACCAGGUCUGGGAACACAUUGGGAUUGGAAGUCAUCUAAAUAUAGCCUGUUUAUAGUCUGUGAUCUGACUUUCUCAGGCACUGUUUGUAUGAGAGCUGGUAACUACAGCACAGUUUUUCUAAACUGGUCAUUUUCUACACUAACUUUUUAUUUGCAUUUGAAAUGAUUUUUAUUAUUGGCACCAGAGAAUUAAAACCUCAGACUAUGGCUGUGGCUGAAAGCUACGCACAGCUUUCCAUAACAUCUUAAUUUAUCAGCCUGUUUGGGUGUUUGAACAUUUAAAGCAAGCAGGAUAAAAGAAUCUGAAGGGAUUGCUUCUUUUCACAUCUCAUCAUUCAUCCGACUUUGUGUUUAACUGUUCAGUUCAGUUCACUGAAUGUCUGUAUUAAUGCUUCACUCAUCCACAGAGGUGUAAAUAUGAAUGACAGUGUGUGCCCAUUCAAAGGCACAGUGGGAAGAAGAUAAUCCCAUAGUCUUGGGACCAUAGGGCCACCAAAUACCUGCACCACAAAGGAGUAAAGAGACUUAGUAGUCUCUUUAGCCAUCGCUGCAGCCAUUCCCCAGGUUUCAGGAAUCAACGUCUUCAUUUGCUUUCAUUCUUUCUCUUACUCAGUGGUCCCCUCAACCACGGCCAUGGCUAUCUCUGAGAAUCCCCUGGGCAGAUUUUCAAAGUUCCAUGCCCAGCCAUGCCCAGGAUGCACCCCAGACCAGUCAUCAGGUCCCGACCCGUGGGGUGGCUCUGCGAAAGCUCCCUGGUGGAUUCUCAAGUUGUACUGGGUGGAGACUGCCGCCUAGCAGGCCAUAGCACAGGGAACUCCAGAGCUAAUCUAACCCUGCAGAUAGGGAACAAAAGCAACAAAACAUUUUAAAAUAAAAUAACGGAGCAAAGA